GGGUUGUGAGGUUAAGCGACUAAGCGUACACGGUGGAUGCCCUGGCAGUCAGAGGCGAUGAAGGACGUGCUAAUCUGCGAAAAGCGUCGGUAAGGUGAUAUGAACCGUUACAGCCGGCGAUGUCCGAAUGGGGAAACCCAGUGCAAUUCGUUGCACUAUCGUUAACUGAAUACAUAGGUUAACGAGGCGAACCGGGGGAACUGAAACAUCUAAGUACCCCGAGGAAAAGAAAUCAACCGAGAUUCCCCCAGUAGCGGCGAGCGAACGGGGAGCAGCCCAGAGUCUGAAUCAGCUUGUGUGUUAGUGGAACGGUCUGGAAAGUCCGACGGUACAGGGUGAUAGUCCCGUACACCAAAAUGCACAGGCUGUGAACUCGAAGAGUAGGGCGGGACACGUGGUAUCCUGUCUGAAUAUGGGGGGACCAUCCUCCAAGGCUAAAUACUCCUGACUGACCGAUAGUGAACCAGUACCGUGAGGGAAAGGCGAAAAGAACCCCGGCGAGGGGAGUGAAAAAGAACCUGAAACCGUGUACGUACAAGCAGUGGGAGCACCUUCGGGUGUGACUGCGUACCUUUUGUAUAAUGGGUCAGCGACUUAUAUUCUGUAGCAAGGUUAACCGUAUAGGGGAGCCGCAGGGAAACCGAGUCUUAACUGGGCGUUAAGUUGCAGGGUAUAGACCCGAAACCCGGUGAUCUAGCCAUGGGCAGGUUGAAGGUUGGGUAACACUAACUGGAGGACCGAACCGACUAAUGUUGAAAAAUUAGCGGAUGACUUGUGGCUGGGGGUGAAAGGCCAAUCAAACCGGGAGAUAGCUGGUUCUCCCCGAAAGCUAUUUAGGUAGCGCCUCGUGAAUUCAUCUUCGGGGGUAGAGCACUGUUUCGGCUAGGGGGUCAUCCCGACUUACCAACCCGAUGCAAACUACGAAUACCGAAGAAUGUUAUCACGGGAGACACACGGCGGGUGCUAACGUCCGUCGUGAAGAGGGAAACAACCCAGACCGCCAGCUAAGGUCCCAAAGUCAUGGUUAAGUGGGAAACGAUGUGGGAAGGCACAGACAGCCAGGAUGUUGGCUUAGAAGCAGCCAUCAUUUAAAGAAAGCGUAAUAGCUCACUGGUCGAGUCGGCCUGCGCGGAAGAUGUAACGGGGCUAAACCAUGCACCGAAGCUGCGGCAGCGACACUAUGUGUUGUUGGGUAGGGGAGCGUUCUGUAAGCCUGCGAAGGUGACCUGUGAGGGUUGCUGGAGGUAUCAGAAGUGCGAAUGCUGACAUAAGUAACGAUAAAGCGGGUGAAAAGCCCGCUCGCCGGAAGACCAAGGGUUCCUGUCCAACGUUAAUCGGGGCAGGGUGAGUCGACCCCUAAGGCGAGGCCGAAAGGCGUAGUCGAUGGGAAACAGGUUAAUAUUCCUGUACUUGGUGUUACUGCGAAGGGGGGACGGAGAAGGCUAUGUUAGCCGGGCGACGGUUGUCCCGGUUUAAGCAUGUAGGCUGGUUAUCCAGGCAAAUCCGGAUAAUCAAGGCUGAGGUGUGAUGACGAGGCACUACGGUGCUGAAGUAACAAAUGCCCUGCUUCCAGGAAAAGCCUCUAAGCAUCAGGUAACAUCAAAUCGUACCCCAAACCGACACAGGUGGUCAGGUAGAGAAUACCAAGGCGCUUGAGAGAACUCGGGUGAAGGAACUAGGCAAAAUGGUGCCGUAACUUCGGGAGAAGGCACGCUGGUGUGUAGGUGAAGUCCCUGCGGAUGGAGCUGAGACCAGUCGAAGAUACCAGCUGGCUGCAACUGUUUAUUAAAAACACAGCACUGUGCAAACACGAAAGUGGACGUAUACGGUGUGACGCCUGCCCGGUGCCGGAAGGUUAAUUGAUGGGGUUAUCCGUAAGGAGAAGCUCUUGAUCGAAGCCCCGGUAAACGGCGGCCGUAACUAUAACGGUCCUAAGGUAGCGAAAUUCCUUGUCGGGUAAGUUCCGACCUGCACGAAUGGCGUAAUGAUGGCCAGGCUGUCUCCACCCGAGACUCAGUGAAAUUGAACUCGCUGUGAAGAUGCAGUGUACCCGCGGCAAGACGGAAAGACCCCGUGAACCUUUACUAUAGCUUGACACUGAACAUUGAGCCUUGAUGUGUAGGAUAGGUGGGAGGCUUUGAAGCGUGGACGCCAGUCUGCGUGGAGCCAACCUUGAAAUACCACCCUUUAAUGUUUGAUGUUCUAACGUUGGCCCCUGACCGGGGUUGCGGACAGUGUCUGGUGGGUAGUUUGACUGGGGCGGUCUCCUCCCAAAGCGUAACGGAGGAGCACGAAGGUUAGCUAAUCCUGGUCGGACAUCAGGAGGUUAGUGCAAUGGCAUAAGCUAGCUUGACUGCGAGCGUGACGGCGCGAGCAGGUGCGAAAGCAGGUCAUAGUGAUCCGGUGGUUCUGAAUGGAAGGGCCAUCGCUCAACGGAUAAAAGGUACUCCGGGGAUAACAGGCUGAUACCGCCCAAGAGUUCAUAUCGACGGCGGUGUUUGGCACCUCGAUGUCGGCUCAUCACAUCCUGGGGCUGAAGUAGGUCCCAAGGGUAUGGCUGUUCGCCAUUUAAAGUGGUACGCGAGCUGGGUUUAGAACGUCGUGAGACAGUUCGGUCCCUAUCUGCCGUGGGCGCUGGAGAAUUGAGGGGGGCUGCUCCUAGUACGAGAGGACCGGAGUGGACGCAUCACUGGUGUUCGGGUUGUCAUGCCAAUGGCACUGCCCGGUAGCUAAAUGCGGAAGAGAUAAGUGCUGAAAGCAUCUAAGCACGAAACUUGCCCCGAGAUGAGUUCUCCCUGAGACUUUAAGUCUCCUGAAGGAACGUUAAAGACGAUGACGUUGAUAGGCCGGGUGUGUAAGCGCAGCGAUGCGUUGAGCUAACCGGUACUAAUGAACCGUGAGGCUUAACCUUACAACGCCGAAG
rnacentral:rRNA from 2 species